GCGGGUCAGCCAACCGCCCUCAUCGGUGAAGCCCAUCGACAGCAUCUGGGACAGAGACUCCACCAGGCCGGGGUCCGCCUCUGUGGGAGGAGUAACAAGUUAGCAGGGGCGGGGCCACAAGGACUGACAUCAGAGUUGGAAAAAUUUGGAAGUGCACGACACAGAAAUUUUCACAGAGGCGCACGGACCUGGCAGACGAGGUAAGCAUUAAAACAGGCUUAAACCUUACCUUGAGGCAGGUGAGGGUACAGGGCCGCCUCCCUCAGCCCUGUGGGGCCCUGCUGGCCUCCGGACACGGGCUCCUGGUCGCUGGACUGCAGAGACUGCAGCUCCCCUGUGGAUGGGUCCACCUCUCUGGAGCUCAGGUGAGUCCACUCCUCAUCAGAGUCCCUGCUCACCUGGAGACCAGAGGCAGGUGUACUACUGGUUAGACUGGUUUCUACUGGUUACAGAUACACUAAACAGGUUUAUUCAGCUCCUGAAAGUAGUAACUCUGUCUGCUCAGUGAGUCUGGAUGUUUCUAAACAGGUUUGUUUGUGAACAUCUGGAAACAGUUCAGAUAAUUCUGAUGAUGAAGACAAGCUGACCUUUGACCCCUGGCUGGCACCGCCCUCACUGCUGGCCCCGCCCUCACUGCUAGCUCCACUCAUCUCCACGUCACCUUCCACACCCCCACCUGAAGUGGGCGGGGCUACCUUCGUCCUCUGGCCUUCGUGCUCCACGUCGAUGUCCACAUCGAUACCUGCACACAACAUCACUUCCUGUUCAGACGGCUCUACAAACAGCUACUCAGAGAACUUCACUGAUCUGAGUAGCUGUGACAUCACUCACCUAGCGGGCUUAACAUGGCCGCCACGCCCUCGCCAAUGUUCUUCAGGAACGCCAUGUUGGCCUGAGAGGCUGCAGACAGAGAUCAGAUUCAUUGAUGAUGUCAUUGGGGGGGGGGGGGUUACAGUUAUCAGUUAUUUAUAAAGAAACACCACACUGACCAGAGGGGGCGCUGCAAUCAGCCGCAGGUCUGGAAGGUCCCGCUUGGUCCUUGUCCUGGUCCUGGUUCAGCUCUGGGUCCUGGUCUUGGUCCUGAGCCUGGUUCUGGUUCUGGUUUUGGUUCCACAUGCAGUGCCUCAUCCUCUUCAUCCACUUCCCUCGAGGAAACCACUGUAGAAACAGGAAAACGUCAGAGUCCUGACAGUCACAGUGCAGGCAGGCAGGGCUGAUUCAUCUUCUCUGUAUUUAUUCUGACAUUUAUUUACUUUAAUAUUUUAUCUUAUAAGUUUAUUUGAAUCAAUAAAAGACUGAAAAACUGAA